rnacentral:rRNA from 1 species
AUUGAACGCUGGCGGCAGGCUUAACACAUGCAAGUCGAGCGGGUGAGGUUGCUUCGGUAACUGAGCUAGCGGCGGACGGGUGAGUAAUGCUUAGGAAUCUGCCUAUUAGUGGGGGACAACAUUCCGAAAGGAAUGCUAAUACCGCAUACGCCCUACGGGGGAAAGCAGGGGAUCUUCGGACCUUGCGCUAAUAGAUGAGCCUAAGUCAGAUUAGCUAGUUGGUGGGGUAAAGGCCUACCAAGGCGACGAUCUGUAGCGGGUCUGAGAGGAUGAUCCGCCACACUGGGACUGAGACACGGCCCAGACUCCUACGGGAGGCAGCAGUGGGGAAUAUUGGACAAUGGGCGCAAGCCUGAUCCAGCCAUGCCGCGUGUGAAGAAGGCCUUUUGGUUGUAAAGCACUUUAAGCGAGGAGGAGGUUACUUGGAUUAAUACUCUAGGAUAGUGGACGUUACUCGCAGAAUAAGCACCGGCUAACUCUGUGCCAGCAGCCGCCGUAAUAC